AUUGAACGCUGGCGGAAUGCUUUACACAUGCAAGUCGAACGGCAGCACGGGGCAACCUGGUGGCGAGUGGCGAACGGGUGAGUAAUAUAUCGGAACGUGCCCAAUCGUGGGGGAUAACGUAGCGAAAGUUACGCUAAUACCGCAUACGAUCUACGGAUGAAAGCGGGGGAUCGCAAGACCUCGCGCGAAUGGAGCGGCCGAUAUCAGAUUAGGUAGUUGGUGGGGUAAAGGCUCACCAAGCCAACGAUCUGUAGCUGGUCUGAGAGGACGACCAGCCACACUGGAACUGAGACACGGUCCAGACUCCUACGGGAGGCAGCAGUGGGGAAUUUUGGACAAUGGGCGCAAGCCUGAUCCAGCCAUUCCGCGUGCAGGAUGAAGGCCUCGGUUGUAACUAGCUUUGUUACGGAACGAAACGGUACUGCCCUAAUACGUGGGCUAAUGACGGUACCGUAACGAAUAAGCACCGGCUAACUACGU
rnacentral:rRNA from 1 species